UCCUUAAUGGCUCAGUUGGAUAGAGUAUCUGCCAUGUAAGCAGGAGAUCCCGGGUUCGAGUCCCGGUCAAGGCA
rnacentral:tRNA from 1 species